rnacentral:rRNA from 1 species
UGGGGAAUUGUUCGCAAUGGGCGCAAGCCUGACGACGCAACGCCGCGUGGAGGAUGAAAAUCUUCGGGUCGUAAACUCCUGUCGAGUGGGAAGAAUAGUUUCCGGGCGAAUAUCCCGGGAGCCUGACGGUACCACUAAAGGAAGCCCCGGCUAACUCUGUGCCAGCAGCCGCGGUAAGACAGAGGGUGCAAACGUUGUUCGGAAUUACUGGGCGUAAAGCGCGUGUAGGCGGCUAUGCAAGUCGGAUGUGAAAGCCCUCGGCUCAACCGGGGAAGUGCACCCGAAACUGCAAAGCUAGAGUCUCGGAGAGGAUCGUGGAAUUCUCGGUGUAGAGGUGAAAUUCGUAGAUAUCGAGAGGAACACCGGUGGCGAAGGCGGCGAUCUGGACGAUGACUGACGCUGAGACGCGAAAGCGUGGGGAGCAAA